rnacentral:rRNA from 1 species
GAUGAACGCUGGCGGCGUGCCUAAUACAUGCAAGUCGAGCGAAUGGAUUAAGAGCUUGCUCUUAUGAAGUUAGCGGCGGACGGGUGAGUAACACGUGGGUAACCUGCCCAUAAGACUGGGAUAACUCCGGGAAACCGGGGCUAAUACCGGAUAACAUUUUGAACCGCAUGGUUCGAAAUUGAAAGGCGUCUUCCGCUGUCACUUAUGGAUGGACCCGGGUCGCAUUAGCUAGUUGGUGAGGUAACGGCUCACCAAGGCAACGAUGCGUAGCCGACCUGAGAGGGUGAUCGGCCACACUGGGACCGAGACACGGCCCAGACUCCUACGGGAGGCAGCAGUAGGGAAUCUUCCGCAAUGGACGAAAGUCUGACGGAGCAACGCCGCGUGAGUGAUGAAGGCUUUCGGGUCGUAAAACUCUGUUGUUAGGGAAGAACAAGUGCUAGUUGAAUAAGCUGGCACCUUGACGGUACCUAACCAGAAAGCCACGGCUAACUACGUGCCAGCAGCCGCCGUAA